rnacentral:rRNA from 1 species
ACGGAAGGCAGCAGUAGGGAAUAUUGGACAAUGGGGGCAACCCUGAUCCAGCGACGCCGCGUGAGUGAAGAAAUAUUUCGGUAUGUAAAGCUCUAUCAGCAGGGAAGAAAAUGACGGUACCUGACUAGGAAGCACCGGCUAAAUACGUGCCAGCAGCCGCGGUAAUACGUAUGGUGCAAGCGUUAUUCGGAUUUACUGGGUGUAAAGGGAGCGUAGACGGCAUAGCAAGUCUGAAGUGAAAUGCGGGGGCUCAACCCCUGAACUGCUUUGGAAACUGUUAAGCUAGAGUGUCGGAGAGGUAAGUGGAAUUCCUAGUGUAGCGGUGAAAUGCGUAGAUAUUAGGAGGAACACCAGUGGCGAAGGCGGCUUACUGGACGAUAACUGACGUUGAGGCUCGAAAGCGUGGGGAGCAAACAGGAUUAGAUACCCUGGUA